UGCUCCGGUGCGAGGAGCGCUCUCUCCAAAGGACCACUACGGCGGGAAAAGGACCCGACCAAACCCCACCCCUCCCGCCCGUCGAGCAAACUCACUCCCGCGAGUGAAUAUGCCCAACUCGACUGGAUUCGUGACGGGUUGCCUGCCUUACGCUCAGCGCAACACGGCACGCCCACGCAGCACCACAGCCGCAGACAUGCGACGGCCCCCGCCGGGACGGCAAUCCCAGUGCGAGGGCCUGACCACCGAGGAAGAUAGAGGCUUCCCG
rnacentral:ncRNA from 1 species